GUACAGGAGACGCGGCUUACCAUGCAGUCGAGCGGGGAAAGGUAGCUUGCUACCUGACCUAGCGGCGGACGGGUGAGUAAUGCUUAGGAAUCUGCCUAUUAGUGGGGGACAACAUUCCGAAAGGAAUGCUAAUACCGCAUACGCCCUACGGGGGAAAGCAGGGGAUCUUCGGACCUUGCGCUAAUAGAUGAGCCUAAGUCAGAUUAGCUAGUUGGUGGGGUAAAGGCCUACCAAGGCGACGAUCUGUAGCGGGUCUGAGAGGAUGAUCCGCCACACUGGGACUGAGACACGGCCCAGACUCCUACGGGAGGCAGCAGUGGGGAAUAUUGGACAAUGGGCGAAAGCCUGAUCCAGCCAUGCCGCGUGUGUGAAGAAGGCCUUUUGGUUGUAAAGCACUUUAAGCGAGGAGGAGGCUACUUAGAUUAAUACUCUAGGAUAGUGGACGUUACUCGCAGAAUAAGCACCGGCUAACUCUGUGCCAGCAGCCGCGGUAAUACAGAGGGUGCGAGCGUUAAUCGGAUUUACUGGGCGUAAAGCGUGCGUAGGCGGCUUCUUAAGUCGGAUGUGAAAUCCCUGAGCUUAACUUAGGAAUUGCAUUCGAUACUGGGAAGCUAGAGUAUGGGAGAGGAUGGUAGAAUUCCAGGUGUAGCGGUGAAAUGCGUAGAGAUCUGGAGGAAUACCGAUGGCGAAGGCAGCCAUCUGGCCUAAUACUGACGCUGAGGUACGAAAGCAUGGGGAGCAAACAGGAUUAGAUACCCUGGUAGUCCAUGCCGUAAACGAUGUCUACUAGCCGUUGGGGCCUUUGAGGCUUUAGUGGCGCAGCUAACGCGAUAAGUAGACCGCCUGGGGAGUACGGUCGCAAGACUAAAACUCAAAUGAAUUGACGGGGGCCCGCACAAGCGGUGGAGCAUGUGGUUUAAUUCGAUGCAACGCGAAGAACCUUACCUGGUCUUGACAUAGUAAGAACUUUCCAGAGAUGGAUUGGUGCCUUCGGGAACUUACAUACAGGUGCUGCAUGGCUGU
rnacentral:rRNA from 1 species